UGUACCUUGGGGAACUUUUUGACCUAAGCUGGUAAAGAUAAGCUUAGGAGGUUUUCAUGCAGGUCCCCACAUCUGUACCCUAGCGUUCAGAGUGGGGGAGGAACCUUGACAACUGUUCUUAGGGAAGGCAAUGUUGAAGCAUGCUUUGCAUUUUCCUUGAAACAUAGGGGGAGUUGUGGUAGUAAGACUGGUACCUAAAAGAUUGCCUAUCUUGAGUUGAGUUACAUGUUGCUCAUUACAGUAGCAUCUGAGCAUCUUACAACUGUUAAUGUAUUUAUUGUCACAACAUCUCUGAGAGAUAGGAAAGUGCUAUUAUCCCCAUUUUAAAGACAGGCACAAAGAUACCAAGUUACUUUCCCCUGGUCACCCAGGAAGCCUGUGUCAGAGCAGGGAUUGAGCUCAGAUCUCCCAAGUUUCAGACUAGUGCUCAUUACAACCAUACAUCCUCUCAUAUUAUCCUGGGCUCAGGUCAUGUAGUACUGUGAAAUAAGGACCAAGUCUGUAAACUUAAUGUGGUACUCUGUGGGAAGCCAGUGAAGAGAUUGAAGCACCAGGAUACUGUAUUGGUCGUAAUCUGUGCCCUCAAUGAGGCAUGCUGUUGCAUUCUUUACCCACUGCAGUUUUCUCAAGACUUAUGUUUUUGAGCCCAAGUAAAAUGCAUUGCUAUAAUCCAUUUGGGAGGUAUUCUUAUGACCAGGUCAGUGGUAGCAAGAAUGGGACAAAAUCUUCCUAAUUGUUUGGUGAUGAUAGAAAAAGUGUCAUACAUGCUUUUUUUGCAAGAACUUUGUGUCUGGGAGGAGGCUAGAAAGACUGCCAAGAUGUGGACUGUCUUGAUGUUCUGUGGGCAUGCAUUGUCGACUGGAGAGAGCUGCAACUUGAUGGCUAGCUGUUUGAAGUGUUAACCUCUGUCUUGUUGGGAUUCAAUUUCAAUAAGCUCUACCUGAGCCAUGUGCUAAUGUUGGCCAGUCACUGGGAAAACGGGAUGACCAUAUUGUUAGCCUAUAUUGAAAAUGACAAAUUUGGGUCAUUUUCACGUUGUUGACAUUAUAGCCCAUGAAGUCUCCCCAUUUCUCCCAUUGGCUAAAUGUAAAUACUUAUUGAAAUUGGGGAGAGAAUUAAUCCAUGUGGUUCUCCACAAAUGAAAAAUCUGGUAGCAAAGGUAGCUUCUGUAUGUGACUCUCAAGAAAGGACUCAUAUAAUUAGAGAGCAUUUCUUUGGAGCACUGUCAUUUCCCUCAGAUGGGAUAAUAAUGUCUUGCAGUCAGACAUAAUGAAUAUUGCAGAGAGGUCCAGGAGUGAGACAAUGGACAUUUGUUCUUUAUAUGUAGUAGGAGAUCUUCCAUUAGCAGUAACAGUACUGUUUCUGUUCUGUAUCCUGGCCAAAACCAGACUAUGUUAGAUCGUUUCCUUAUCCCCGAAACAGAAAAGGAAGGACAAGGCUUAGCAUUUUUGAUAAACUUCUUUUUUCUCUGCAAGGAAAAGAUCAGCCUCCUUUAAAAAAAUCAUAGUGAUGCAAAAAAGAGCACUUGGUAGGCAUGCAGAUUUUAAAAUGUUGUCCAGAGAUUUUUUCAAACUGCAAAUAUUUACAUCAACAAUUGCUGUGGUACUACAUCCAGUGAGGUAUCUUGCAUCUAACACAGAAGUAUAUUUCAACAAGCCACAUGAGUCGUAGGCACUCAGCACAAUGAUGUACACAGUAUGAAAACAGAUGCAUGUUACUUAUCUAGGAACUUUAAUUUUGUAACAUUUAAAGGGCCUUUUGUUUGUUUGCUUGUUUCUAGACUUUUGCAGGUAUAAUAUAACCUUUCUAACAGUGUAACUUUCCCUUUAAGUGCCAAGGACACUGGCAGUUUUCCUGGCAUUGACAGAACAUUAUCAUUCUCCCUUGUAACACAGAAACAGACCUUAAACAUUUUCUGACCUCAUCUGGCUAUUUCAUAAAAGAUAAUUAAAUGUACAUAUGUAUAUCUAGUGUAUAUCAAAUCUUCUUGAUUUGAUAAUUUAACAUUGUGUUUAUUUUCUUUCAUUUUAAAGAUGUUGGAGUUGCCGGUGUGUUAAAGUCUCCGUCAUUGUUGAGAAUCAUUCGCUUGGUGCGGAUUAGCCAAAUCCUGAGACUAAUAUGGCAAGCCCAAGGAAUUAGAACUCUCCUUUUUACAUUAUUGAUGUCCCUUCCUGCUCUGUUCAAUAUUGGUGUCCUACUUUUUCUGAUCAUAUAUAUUUAUGCUAUUUUGGGCAUGGCUUACUUCGCCUGUGCUAAUUGGGAUGGUGGGAUUGAUAACAUUUUCAACUUCCAAACCUUCGGUGGCAGCAUGCUCUGUCUCUUCCAGAUCACAACGUCAGCCGGCUGAGACGGCCUUCUUAACCCUUUCGUAGGGACAAGAUUUGACUCUUGUGCUCCAAAGUUAAAGAUACAACCUAGAGACAAUACUGCUUGUGUAAAUAGCUCUGUAGCAAUUAUAUAUUUUGCAGUGAGAACAGUACUUGCAGAUACAGAUGAAAAAUGACAGGAAUAAUAAGUGUCUUCAGAAGGCUUCACUGCGUGAGAACAGUGUUGGGGAACAGUGAGUGAUCAGGCGUGCACACUGAUCUCUGAACCUCUAAACAAGAUGGAUUCAGCUUUCCUGACAGAUGGGGAAUAGAGAAGAAUAGAUUCCACCAAAACAGGCCUGGUGAGAAGGAUCUUCAAAUCAGCUGAUGUCACCUGAGUGGAGGAAGUAGUCAGAAGUGUAAAAGUCCUACCAAGUGUGACGGUAAUGGAAAAAGCCUUCUACUUUGUCCAGAUCUGUGUGACUGCUUUGUCUGUGACUUCUGAGUUAGUGACUUGCAAUGUAUUCCACCACUACCAAAGAAUUUCCCUAAGCAGGCACCAUGGACUCUGAUGACCUUUGGUGAAGCUGUGUGACUCCUCCUUACCUAUGUUCAUUCAGAAGCUUCAUGAAUUUCUAGCAAAAGAAGGAAAGACUUUAACUGAGGUAAUAGGAGUUAGGAAAAGGAUAGGGAUAGGACAGGCUGAUGGUUGGAUGCAGCUAGCAAAAGGUUGGAAACAGUAGUGAAGGUGAAGAAGAUGGAAAUAGGAACAACAAUGAGAGGAGGAAAUUGUCAAUUUUGUUUUGGACUCCCAUUGCCUUCAAUAGGCACUGGAUCAGCCCCUCACCCCCCCCCCCCUUUUUUUUUUCCAGACUGUUACAGAACAUUAUCAUCAUACACUCAGAGUGAGAUACUCCACUCAACCAACAGGAUGCUAAAUUCUAUCUUAACCAAAAGUAACAACGGCAAAAAUAACAGUAGCCAUCAACUUCCUUGCCAGGUGUAAAUGGUGAGGGGAGGGAAACAGGUCUGGUUGUUACUGCUAUUUGGUCAACUAGAAAUAACUGGAAAUCAGACCCCAGAGUUGCAAACUUUGAUAACAAAUUAUGGCUGAACAUCCUCCAUCAGGAGGGCUGAUAUAAUUGGACCCAAAUCAUCUGAUUUCCUUCUUCACCCUACCAUAAUCACCUAAUACAUAACAAUAGGCAUAUAAUAAAUUAUUUAAGAAUAAUGAUUAUUAAACAACACUUACUGACCGUCUUCAACAGUUGUUUAUAUCCAAUUGGAAAUUUGAGUCCAUUCCAAGUGAUAUAAAAGAUGCAGUUCUGUUCCCUCUAUAUAAUAGAAUUGGUGACGGAGUAGAGUGUGGAAAUUACCAAGGGAUCUCCCAUCUAUCUAUUCCUGGUAAAGCACUGGCAAGAGUCCUCAAUCAGCUUCUACAACACUGGGUCAGAUUUCUUUCUGAGAGGCACUUGGAUACCUCAGUGAUGAAUGCAUUAUAAAUGCUUGGACAGAGAGGCAUCAAGUGGUUUCAGAGUAUGAUGUGGUAACACUGGUAUGAUCUUUAUUCUUUGCCAGCACCAGAGAAGAUAAGUGAAGAAUAUCAGCCAUAAUAAGUGGUUUUUAUUGAUCUACAGGGGGCCUUUGAAAGUAUUAAAAAGAUAUUUAGGCAACUCCUCAGGAAAAAAAACUUCCCGGGCAAGUCAGUUGCAAUCAGCUCUUUAUUUCAUGAGGCUAUGCCUGGAAGAAUCAGUUAUUGCAAUAAUGUCCUUCCUGAUCCCAAUCUGAUCAAGACAGGUGUGAAACAGGGAUACAUAUUUCUACUGGGUUUGAUUCAGUAUGUUUUUUUGCUGUUGUUAUUAAUGAAGUUUGUUACUAUCUGCAGCCAGGAGUCUGCAUUCACUUUGGAGAAGAUAGAGAUUUCAGUCUGUCAUACAAGAAAGCAAAACCUUAAAUCACUGACUGUCUCCAAAAUCUGCAUUCUGCUGCUGGUCUUUUUGUCCUUUCUGAACAGGAGCUACAAGAAAUGGCUACACAUUUUAAUAUGGCAGCACUGUCCAUAUUUUUUUUUUUUUUAAAGGCCCAAAUUCUCUGUCACUAUCCUCUGAGUUACCAUGUUGGUCCAAAAUCAUCACCAAAAGACACCAAGUUUACAGUUUUAUAAGAUGUUUUUUAUUAACUAGUGUUCAAAAAUUCAGGCUUCAUAUAAGUAUUCAGAUGCUAAAUCUCUAAUAUUCUUCCUUAGCCGAAUAUUUUUUAAUACAAUGGAAAUCAUUUUAAGAAAGAAAAUGUAUCACAAUGUUGUUUACUUUUACUACAGUACAUGUAGUAGUUUCCAUACUUAGAAUGGGAAAUACUACAAGUACUGUGAUAGUCAGCUACUGUGCAUUUUAAAUGGCAUCUCCUGUAUCUGUUCAAAGCUGAAUAGUUAGGAGGCACAGUUCCCUUCCCAUGAUAUUUGUGGCCUGGUAAGCUCAUGCGCUUCUCCUCUUUUUUUCUGAAUGCCAGUUCUGAUGGUAGCUGAGGGUAAUCCAGAGACAGGAACCUCUCUCUCUGGCCUCUCCAUGUAACGCCAGAUGAAUCUUCUUUUAUGACCAUUUAUAUAAGACAAUCUUACUGUUGUUCCUUUCCUACCCAUUCCCCACCUGUAACUAACUUUAGCUAUUAAUCUGUCAUUCUGCCAGUAUCAAUUAAGUUUGCUUAAAGUAAGGAAAGAGUGAACCUCAUCAUAUAGAUGUACUUACAUCUGUGUCAUUAGUAUAAAUAAACAACAUACCUCUAGGUCAAAGGUAUAAGAAAAGGAACAUUCAGAGUAAGGUCUUUAACUUUUCAAUGAUGGGGAAAAAUCCUUUUGUGAAAGAAAAGUUUAUUUUUCAAAAGACAUUUAACCACCAUGACAGUGAAAAUAACCUUCAAUUUAUGAUUAUGGGUUCAGUGCUUAUACCUGGCUAUACAGAAGCAGGUGUUCUAAUUGCAAUGCUUUUUUCAUAAUGUUUUAUAACAUUCUAUUAAUAAACAUAAUGGGGAAAGUAAUAUCUAACUCAUAUAUUCUGUUAUAUGAUGUUAGUCAUUGGAUUUGAUUAUUAACAUCCUGCUGCAGUAAAGGAUAAAAUAAUAGAUACAAUUGUAUUACUUAUUGCUUUUUCCAUUGUUCAGUUUCUAACUCCUCUUCAGCUGAGCACUGUUCUUUGAUAUUCAGCUGAAUACUACAAUUUUUAAUACUUAAUUAAAAUUUAGCUGAUAAACAUGAACAGGGAUGAAGAGCAUUGUGAGGGUCUUCUGCAGUCACUAGCAGUCCGCUAGCAUCUGACAUGAUUUUCUGGAGGCCUACUCCUAUCCUGAUACAGGAAGUAAUCCAUCUGGAAACUGUCUGUGCUGAAAGUGCUUGCCCUCUUAUUCUGUCUUGCAUACAAAAUGAAGAGCUGAGGGAACAGCCUGUAAGUCUUAGUUCUGUCAAGAUGGAAGGCUAAAGCUCACCUCACAUCUAAAGUAUGGAGACACUCCUCAUCCCUAUUUGAAUGUGGCUUUGGGGAAAAAAACAGGUAAGUAUAUUGUCUGGUUUAAAUGAAAAGCCAAUACCACUUUAGUUAAAAAUGGUGGAUGUAGCCUCAAAGUUACUUUAUCGUUGAAAAAUAACAUAUGUGGAGGUCCUGCCAUGAGAACCAGCAGCUUACUCAUUCUUCAGGCUGAUAUGAUGGCAAUAAGAAAAGAUACCUUCUGAUACAGGUGAGGCCAAGAACAGGUGGCAAUCAAGGGCCCAUCAAGGCAGAUAAUACAAUGUUAAGAUUCCAAAGUAGUACUGUAUCUAUAACAGGAAGAAAAAGCUGAAUAAUCUUUUAACGAUCUAGAGAACAUGGGGUUGGAAAAGACCAGUCUCCCUUGAAUGGGAGGAUGGAUAGCUGAGAUCAUUGCUAAGUGAACUCUCACAGAGCUUAGAGAAAGUCCUGAGGAUCUGAGAUGUAACUGGUACUCAAAUGUCUUGAAUCUUAGUUUCUGUUGGCUAUAUUCCCUGGAGAAUGGACCAGUUGGUGAAACAUUUCCACUUAGCUCAAUAAGUGGCUUUAGUGGACUGCUUUCAACUAUUAAGUAAUAUUUCCUGAACUGCCACUGAGGAGCCUCUCAGCUUUAUCUAAUCACUCAACUGCCGUGUCAUGAGGUGCAGACUGUUUGGAUCCAGGUGCAAUAUUCAUCCAUGCUGCUGAGAUAGCAGGUCUGGGAGAGGAGGCAGAGGCCAUAGAGGUGGAAUCAAGAGACUGAAAAUCCAAGAACUAGCAUUGUCUCAGCUAUGCUAUAAUAAUUAUCUUGGCAUUCUCUCAUUUCAAUCUGAUGACAACCUACAGGAUGAGAAAAGGAGUACUUGAAUUGAUGGGAGAUGCAUACACGAGACUUGGUUCCUACCAUAGGAAAAGGCUGUGGUUAGUGAGGCUGGCCUAUGACACACUUGGGAACAGACUUGGCAUUUUCUGUUAUCCUUUGUCACAAAUGUAUUGACUGAUAGAAUGCACCAGACCUGAAAAACAUUUCUGAGCACACACUUCUUCAGGGACUGCUCAUGAUUUUGGGAAAAUCUCCUUCUGAAGUGAUCUGCCAACUGAUUCUGGGAACUUGGUAAAUACAUGGCAAUGGGAGUAAUGUCUUCUUUGAUACAAAAGUUCCACCACUUCAUUUCUUCUUGACAAAGCUGAUUGUACUUUGCCCCUCCUUGUCUGUUUAGAUAGUACAUCGCGGUUGUAUUGUCCGUCAGUGUUUGGACUGACAAGCCUCUGAUGCAAGGGAUCAAAGCAUAGCAUGCCCUGUGAAUUGUCUGGAGUUAAAGGACAUUGACAGGAAGAGUUGCUUUGUGUUUCUUUCAUAAUGCUUGUGUUUUCAGGUUCUCUAGCACCCCACCCUUUCACAGAGGCAUCAGUAAUUGUCCUGGAUGGAAGUGGACGAGAAAAGGGUACAUCCCUGCAUAUGUUGAUCUGAUCAGUCCACCACUGUUGAGAUUGUAGGACUGCAGGAUGAACCCAGACCAACUUGUCCAUAGGAUGUCUGUCUGGUCAACAGACUGACUUCAGUGACCCUUGAAGGAUACGCAGGCAAAGCCUGACAUUGUGGGUCUUUUAAGUACUUAAGGCCGUGUUGCCUAAUAGCUUUAGACACAUCAAGACUGCGAUGGUGGUGUGUGACUUGAGAGAGAGGCAUAGUUGAUGAAUCGUCUGAAAUCUCUCCAGUGGGAGAAAAGCCUUGAAUUUGUAGAGUUGAGUAGGGCUCCACUGAACUUGGAUUUCCAUGGCAGGACUUAUGUAGAUUUUCCCCUGUUCAGCAUGAGUCUCAGAUGGUUGAAGAGAUGAACUGGAUAUAAUGGAGAAUCUGAUGUUUGGAUCUGUCCUGCAUUAACCAUACAUCCAUGUCAGGGGAGAGGAGCAUUCCCUUUCUCUUCAAGUAGACCACCACGUACUUGGUGAAUAGAUUUGGGGUUGACAACAGGCCAAAGGGAAGUAUUGAGUAUUGAUAGUGUUGGGCUGCUGUUAGAAAUCUUAGAAACUUCCUGCGAGUUAGCAGUCACAUGGAGGUAAGCAUCCUGCAGAUGGAGGGCAGCAAACCAGUCAUUGCAGUCUAGGGAAAGAAUGACUGAUGCUAGGGAAACCAUACAAAAUCUUAUGUACUUGAUGAACUUGCUGUGAUUUCAAAGGUCCACCCUGGGUCUCAGAACUCCCCCACACUCCUUGUACUUGGAGUUCAGAAAGUAUUGUCAGUUAAACUUCAUUCCCUGAUGUUGAAGGGGAACUUCCUCUAUGGCUCCUAGAGUGAACAGUGUCUGAACUGCUUGAAGGAGCAUUGACCUGUGAGAUUGGUCCCUGAAUAGCGAUGGGGCAGGUGGGUAGGAGAGGGAGACGGAGAGAAAUAGGAUAGAAUAUCCCAGUCUCACAGUGCUUAGGAUCCAUUUGUCUGUCAGUAUAGAGUCCCAAGCAGUGAGGAAACGGGACAGUCUGUCCGUAGAGGAGAGAUGGCUGGAAGAUCACUGAUGACUAUAUUGCUAUCUUCAAAGAAAUCAAAUGGGCUGCUUCUUAACAACUGAGGAUGCUAUCGAACUGGAGUUAGAGGGCCUCUUUCUCUGUGAUUUGUGCUUUCUCUUAAAAAAAAAUUUUCUAGCUUGGUGGGUAUUAUACUGAUGUUGAUAUUGUUGUUAUUGGAUCUGUAAUGAUGGCUGGGGUAUAGAUUUCUAACUAACAAAGGGUAGCCUGAGAGUCUAAAUAAUGUAAAGUUACACUGGUUUUAUCUGAAAAUAAAAGUUUAUCAACAAACAGGAUGACCUUUGUAGUUUGCUGGAUAUCAGAAGCUAUGCCCAAGCUCUGUAAUCAUGAGGAUCUCCUCACUAUUAGUGCAGAGGUUAUCACCAUAGAAGAAACAUCAGCCACAUCAAGCGUGGAGUGAAGCGACACCUUGGCCACCAUGGAGCCUUCUGCCCGGAAAGUUUUAAUUUCCUCCCUUGCAUUUUUUGGUAGUUUGUCAAAAACUUGGACAUUGCACCGCAGUUUACAAAGUCACAUUUUAGCUAACACUGUCUUCCGAUUCACUAUAUGCACUUGGAGAGAGGAAAUAGAAUGAUUUUUUUUUUUCUCCCAAAUAGAUCAAGUCUUUGGGGCUCUUUUUUUCUGCGGGAGUUGAUUUAAAUCUCCCCGAUGUGAUCUCUCAUUGGUUGAUGUAACUACCAGUGAGGCAGGAUGGGAAUAAAAUCACUCAAAGCUUUGCACUGGGAUAUGAUAUUUAUCUGUGCGCUUAGUUGUAGGAGCUAAGGAGACUCGUGUAUGCCACAAGGUCUUUGUCAGUUCUAGAAAAACCUCAUUAUUUUGGAGGGCAAUUGGCAUGUAAGUGUCCUCUUGCACAAGCUCAGCUUCUAUAAUGGAGAAGCCCCAGCCCCAGCCAUUCUUGUCAGCAGUACCUGAUGAGACUUAAAAUCCUCUGCUACCAGAGAAGAAGAGUCCAGGAUCACUGAGUCAUCGGUUGAGAAGGAGGAAGGGAUAACAGGAGCCAAUGGAUGCUUAUGUGAUAGAACUGGUUCAUCAGCAGUGGUUCUUCCUGCAGCACUGGAAUCAUAGAAUAUCAGCGUUGGAAGGGACCACAGGAGGUCAUCUAGUCUAACCCCCCGGCUCAAAGCAGGACCAAUCCCUAACUAAAUCAUCCCAGCCAGGGCUUUGUCAAGCCUGGAGCUCAAAGGUGAAUAGAAUCUCUGUGUGCUUCCAAUUUAGGUGGCUCUGGAAGCUGUUUUGCCAAAGGCAGUGGCAACCUUCCCCUAGAUUGGGCCAGUGAUCGAGACAUGGGGGACCAGGAAACACCAAAGGGGUCCAGUAAGGCCAUGGAGGGAGACCAUAAGGCAUGGGCAACCAAAAAGUAUUAGGUCAUGAUGACUUGUUCCUGCUGAAUGAUUGGCCCUGCCCCCAGUACUGAUGUUCUCCUGGGGGCAGCCUAGAUGAUUAGCUAGAGUGACUGUAUCUAGGAGAGGAUGGUGAGAUACUGUAAAAGUCUGAGCUUGACUGAGAAGAAUCAUCUGAGUAGUCCAUGGGCAUCAGGGGCGCAAAGCCCGAUGGGGCCACUAGGUGAUCUGUUGUAUCUAUAGCCCACUGUAAAGAUACUAACAUUGGCACCUAGGUAGAUAUGUUUCAGAGUAGCAGCCGUGUUAGUCUGUAUUCGCAAAAAGAAAAAGAGUACUUGUGGCACCUU